GGUAAAGUGGCUGAGUAUAGGCAAUAAAUUGUAAAUUUAUGAACGAAAUGUAUUUUCCUUUAUCA
rnacentral:tRNA from 1 species